AACGCUGGCGGCGUGCCUAAUACAUGCAAGUCGAGCGAAUCUUAAGGUGCUUGCACCUUUUGGUUAGCGGCGGACGGGUGAGUAACACGUGGGCAACCUGCCUGUAAGACUGGGAUAACUUCGGGAAACCGGAGCUAAUACCGGAUAAUCCUUUUCCUCUCAUGAGGAAAAGCUGAAAGUCGGUUUACGCUGACACUUACAGAUGGGCCCGCGGCGCAUUAGCUAGUUGGUGAGGUAACGGCUCACCAAGGCGACGAUGCGUAGCCGACCUGAGAGGGUGAUCGGCCACACUGGGACUGAGACACGGCCCAGACUCCUACGGGAGGCAGCAGUAGGGAAUCUUCCGCAAUGGACGAAAGUCUGACGGAGCAACGCCGCGUGAGCGAUGAAGGCCUUCGGGUCGUAAAGCUCUGUUGUUAGGGAAGAACAAGUAUCGGAGUAACUGCCGGUACCUUGACGGUACCUAACCAGAAAGCCACGGCUAACUACGUGCCAGCAGCCGCGGUAAUACGUAGGUGGCAAGCGUUGUCCGGAAUUAUUGGGCGUAAAGCGCGCGCAGGCGGUCCUUUAAGUCUGAUGUGAAAGCCCACGGCUCAACCGUGGAGUGUCAUUGGAAACUGGGGGACUUGAGUAC
rnacentral:rRNA from 1 species